GAUUUGGUAGCCUAAGUGGUUAGAGCAUCUGCCUUGGAUGUGGGAGGUCUCGGGUUUGAAUUGAAGCCAAGUCA